rnacentral:rRNA from 1 species
ACUGCUCAGUAACACGUGGACAACCUGCCCUUAGGACGGGGAUAAACCCGGGAAACUGGGUAUAAUACCCGAUAGGUCUCGAUUGCUGGAAUGCAUCGAGAUUUAAAGCUCCGGCGCCUAAGGAUGGGUCUGCGGCCUAUCAGGUAGUAGUGGGUGUAGCGUACCUACUAGCCUACGACGGGUACGGGUUGUGAGAGCAAGAGCCCGGAGAUGGAUUCUGAGACACGAAUCCAGGCCCUACGGGGUGCAGCAGGCGCGAAAACUUUACAAUGCUGGCAACAGCGAUAAGGGAACCUCGAGUGCCAGGUUACAAAUCUGGCUGUCGAGAUGUCUAAAAAGCAUUUCAUAGCAAGGGCCGGGCAAGACCGGUGCCAGCCGCCGCGGUAACACCGGCGGCUCGAGUGGUAACCGUUAUUAUUGGGUCUAAAGGGUCUGUAGCCGGCCGGAUAAGUCUCUUGAGAAAUCUGGCAGCUUAACUGUCAGGCUUUCAGGAGAUACUGUCUGGCUCGAGGCCGGGAGAGGUGAGAGGUACUUCAGGGGUAGGGGUGAAAUCUUGUAAUCCUUGAAGGACCACCAGUGGCGAAGGCGUCUCACCAGAACGGACCUGACGGCAAGGGACGAAAGCUAGGGGCACGAACCGGAUUAGAUACCCGGGUAGUCCUAGCCGUAAACGAUACUCGCUAGGUGUCGGCCACGGUGCGACCGUUGUCGGUGCCGUAGGGAAGCCGUGAAGCGAGCCACCUGGGAAGUACGGCCGCAAGGCUGAAACUUAAAGGAAUUGGCGGGGGAGCAC